GAGGACGAUGGAAACAUGCUUUUGGUGAAUAAAUAUUGUGGCUUGAUUUUUCCACUUGAAUAAUGCAUAUGCUGCCAUUUCGACAGCAGGACAGAUCAUCAGCCAGGACAGAACUGAGACUUGAGCUCAACAUCUGGAGCCUCAUGAAUAAAUGGAGGCUCCAGGACUUGAGUUCAACUUUAGAUAUUACAGACGGGAGAGAGUUCAGACUGGGAACUUAAGAUGCUUUUGCAGACGGUGUGGCGCUUCAUUCUGGAGCCUGUACAGGACCGAUGGGCUGCUCUGCACGAGCGAGCCAGGUCUCUGAGCGGAGCAGCCGGACUCAUUGGUUUGACUGCGAGCAGAGGUGGGGUGCUUGGAGCUUUGUUACGGUGUGUGCUUCGGACCACAGUCCCUGCGCUGCGCGUGUCCCAGGAGAAUUGUGUCUCUAACCAGCUUUGGGACGUGUGAGCCGGCGGCUUUUGAAUGAGGAAAAAGAGCUCCGAACAGUCCUGAGAAACCGUGCAAACAAUCAUGUGGAUUUGUGUUUCCAAUCGUGACCAGACAAAAUAAAGGCUGAUGUUAUUCCCACAUAUUUACGUGAAGUCAACAUGCACAUCACUGGAUUGUCUGCACGGAUUUUAAGUGCAUCCAAAGCUAAAUGUCUAACUCUAACCCUUCUCUGGGUCUGUGCGCUUAAAAAUAAAGCACUGAGUGCACGGAUUUAAAACAUUAUGAGUAGAGAUGCAACGAUUCAGUCAAACCACGAUUCCAAUCAUAGCUUUAAAGUUACAUUUUCGUUUUUUUUCCAGAUUUUUUUCUCAACACAAUUAAAAGUAUUUUAAGGCCAAGUAUGUUUUCUUUUUGCCCCUUAGAUCAAACUGUCGGUUGUCCUACUAACAGAAAAGAUCCAAUUCAAACAAACAAUUAUAUAUAAUACUGAAAUAUUGAUCACAUAUC